AGAGUUUGAUCCUGGCUCAGGACGAACGCUGACGGUGUGCUUUAGGCAUGCAAGUCGAACGAGAAAGCCCUUCGGGGUGAGUAAAGUGGCGAACGGGUGAGUAACACGUGGGCAACCUGCCCCUCGCAGGGGGACAACCGGAGGAAACUCCGGCUAAUACCCCGUACGCUUGUUGGAUCGCAUGGUCCGGCAAGGAAAGGUAGCUUCGGCCAUCCGGCGAGGGAUGGGCCCGCGUUGCAUUAGCUAGUUGGUGGGGUAACGGCCUACCAAGGCGACGAUGCGUAGCUGGUCUGAGAGGAUGAUCAGCCACACUGGGACUGAGACACGGCCCAGACUCCUACGGGAGGCAGCAGCCAGGAAUCUUGGGCAAUGGGCGAAAGCCUGACCCAGCAACACCGUGUGGGCGAUGAAGGCCUUAGGGUCGUAAAGCCCUGUUGAUAGGGACGAAGGGCGAAGGGUUAAUAGCCCCUAGCUUGACGGUACCUUUCGAGGAAGCCCCGGCUAACUACGUGCCAGCAGCCGCGGUAAUACGUAGGGGGCGAGCGUUGUCCGGAAUUAUUGGGCGUAAAGAGCGUGUAGGCGGUUCGGUAAGUCUGCUGUGAAAUCCUGGGGCUCAACCCUGGGCGUGCAGCGGAUACUGCCGGGCUAGAGGGUGGUAGAGGCGAGUGGAAUUCCGAGUGUAGCGGUGAAAUGCGCAGAUAUUCGGAGGAACACCAGUAGCGAAGGCGGCUCGCUGGGCCACACCUGACGCUGAGACGCGAAAGCGUGGGGAGCGAACAGGAUUAGAUACCCUGGUAGUCC
rnacentral:rRNA from 1 species